ACGGAGGAUCCAAGCGUUAUCCGGAAUCAUUGGGUUUAAAGGGUCCGUAGGCGGUUUAGUAAGUCAGUGGUGAAAGCCCAUCGCUCAACGGUGGAACGGCCAUUGAUACUGCUAAACUUGAAUUAUUAGGAAGUAACUAGAAUAUGUAGUGUAGCGGUGAAAUGCUUAGAGAUUACAUGGAAUACCAAUUGCGAAGGCAGGUUACUACUAAUGGAUUGACGCUGAUGGACGAAAGCGUGGGUAGCGAACAGGAUUAGAUACCCUGGUAGUCCACGCCGUAAACGAUGGAUACUAGCUGUUGGAAGCAAUUUCAGUGGCUAAGCGAAAGUGAUAAGUAUCCCACCUGGGGAGUACGUUCGCAAGAAUGAAACUCAAAGGAAUUGACGGGGGCCCGCACAAGCGGUGGAGCAUGUGGUUUAAUUCGAUGAUACGCGAGGAACCUUACCAAGGCUUAAAUGUAGAUUGACCGGUUUGGAAACAGACUUUUCGCAAGACAAUUUACAAGGUGCUGCAUGGUUGUCGUCAGCUCGUGCCGUGAGGUG
rnacentral:rRNA from 1 species